AUUGAACGCUGGCGGCAGGCCUAACACAUGCAAGUCGAACGAGUGGCGGACGGGUGAGUAAUGUCUGGGAAUCUGCCUGAUGGAGGGGGAUAACUACUGGAAACGGUGGCUAAUACCGCAUACCAUCGGAUGUACCCAUAUGGGAUUAGCUUGUUGGUGGGGUAACGGCUCACCAAGGCGACGAUCCCUAGCUGGUCUGAGAGGAUGACCAGCCACAGUGGAACUGAGACACGGUCCAGACUCCUAAGUGAGGCAGCGGUGGGGAAUAUUGCACAAUGGGCGCAAGCCUGAUGCAGCCAUGCCGCGUGUAUGAAGAAGGCCUUCGGGUUGUAAAGUACUUUCAGCGGGGAGGCGUUACCCGCAGAAGAAGCACCGGCUAACUCCGUGCCAGCAGCCGCGGUAAUUC
rnacentral:rRNA from 1 species